UCCAAGUGAAUAACAACCCAGGUAUUGUACUGCUUUUCUUGCCGGUUUGUCCUAUUAUCCCAUUAUUAUAGAUGCCUAAAAACUUGUUUCCAUUACUUGAGGUAUUUAAACCAAGCUGGUAAGUUCAUGUGGUCAGCGGACAAUUGCAGUCACCCUUUCCCGUACUUUUCUUCCAACUAUGCUUUCUCCUUCAAGUGUUGAAACCCUGGGAAGUCAUCGUCAAGGCCUUAGCAGCAGAGAUCCAUCACUGUUCCGCCACAAGUUUAAUGACGUUUUCCAUGUCAAAUAUAUUUUGUCUUAUGCUGUCUUCAACUCUUCAUGGAAUUUCCAGUCUCUAUACUUUAUACAUAUAUAUGGGUCUGCAGUUUCCUAUAUAUGAUUCCCUAUCUCAUAUUUUCACGUCCAACUUUUUGCAGAAAGAUCUAAAGAGUCUGCAAAUCUGAAGGAGAUACAACUUCUUGCCUCCGUCUUAUUCCAACUUCUUGAACAGAUAUGUAGCUACACCUAAGGUAUCCUGCUAGUAAAGAUUAUUCCAAUUAUGAUUUUUUUUCGCUUUCUGGGUGCAACAUGAAAGAAAAACUUAAUUCAAUCUAUUUGUAUUUCUCCAUAAACUUUUAGCCAAAAAAAUGUGAAUAAAGAAAGGCUGAAUAAAUAUUAGCAUCUAAAUUGAUUAUUUGUUAAAAUCUGGGAAGUAACAACAACUUUUCCAUUAAAAUACACAUGCAUCCUCUCUUAUCUCAGAUUUGGUAGUGUAUGACCAUUAUAUUGCUUUGUGCCAAGCUUUCAUUAUCAUUAUAGCUCAACAUACACAGUUUUUUAAUUCAGCAUCAAGUACUUCUGCUCAGCAAUUAAAACUAUUAUAUUAGAAACAAGAAGGAUAAAACUUUUGUUUACACCCAUCAGCCUUCAGAAGAAAACGUACGCAUACUAUCACAAUUAUAACAAGACCACAUCAAAGACAGGACCAAACUCCAAAACACUCAACUUCAAGAACCUGCAUACACUGUGCACAAGCUGAGUCAACCACCACAAACAUUGCCUGUAGGACUGAUAUAGCUACUAGCAUGCCAUUUUUUUUUUCAAUUUUAAUAACUCUCUGAACUGCUGGCAUUUAGCUUAUCUUCAUUGCACGUAUAUUUAGUUAAAUACUACAAUGCUAAGAAAUGAACUUAAGAUAAGGUCUCAUUUAGCUUGAGAUGCAUAGUGAGUGUCAAACUUUUUUUUUUAUUAUUAUCAAAGAGGAUUGAAUUGAUUAACUUACUGAAGUGAAAAGUAAACCAUAAAAGCAUAAAUGAAAGUUGCAAUAUUUGCAGAAGCAUUACCAACUUGUAAACAUAUAUGAUCUAAGAAGAAGAUAGAAUACAGUAAGAAACCCUUCAUAUAUUUAUAUAUUAAGCUGCGUAAUACAUUCGAUAUUAGGUCUAGUCAAUCCCAAAAGGGCGCUCGACCAAAGUCCAUCAUCUAAAAGUACUAGUUUAUUGAACUUGCAUGAUGUCCAAUCUAAUAAUAUCUGCAUAUGCCUAGUAUAAAUCAAUACAUAUUAAAGGCACCAGCAGUCCCAUAGCUAAUGAAAUACCAUUAUAGUUUUAUUAUGUACAGCAACCUGGAUUAAAGACUUCUUUUCUUAUAAGUUUGCUACCUAUAAUUAAUUAGUAUAUAUGCUCUAAUUGCUGGAAUAUGGUUUCACUUCCACAGAUCAAUUUGACAACUCGAAGUGGAUGUGGAGGCAUAUUCCUGAUGAGCAAUUUCUGGCCUUUUGGAUUCAUUGGACGCUAAAUUCAUUUGUGCAGCCACAUAAAAACUGGUGUCUGCAUUGCAGUAGUUGCUUUCCUUUGAAGCUUCCUCAUGGCUGAGCUGAGAGGCAACAAACUUGUCAAGAACUCGCCAAUCUGUCACUUGAUC
rnacentral:lncRNA from 1 species